rnacentral:Y_RNA from 1 species
GGCUGGUCUGAUGGUAGUGGGUUAUCAGAACUUAUUAACAUUAGUGUCACUAAAGUUGGUAUAUAACUCCCCAUUGGUAGAUUUGACUAGCCAAAA